rnacentral:rRNA from 1 species
GAUGAACGCUAGCUACAGGCUUAACACAUGCAAGUCGAGGGGAAACGACAUCGAAAGCUUGCUUUUGAUGGGCGUCGACCGGCGCACGGGUGAGUAACGCGUAUCUAACCUGCCCACCACUUGGGCAUAACCCUGCGAAAGUAAGACUAAUCCCCAAUGAUACCUCUAGAAGACAUCUUAAAGAGAUUAAAGCAUUAUCGGGUACGCAAGGGGGUGCGUCUGAUUAGCUUGUGGGGGGGGUAACGGCGCACCAAGGCGACGAUCAGUAGGGGUGCUGAGAGGAAGGUCCCCCACAUUGGAACUGAGACCAGGUCCAAACUCCUACGGGAGGCAGCAGUGAAGUAUAUUGGUCAAGGGACGAGAGUCUGAACCAGCCAAGAAGCGUGCAGGAUGACGGCCCUAUGGGUUGUAAACUGCUUUUAUAAGGGAAUAAAGUGAGUCUCGUGAGGCUUUUUGCAUGUACCUUAUGAAUAAGGACCGGCUAAUUCCGUGCCAGCCGCCGCGGUAA